GAGUUAGUAGUUCACUUGGUUAGAAUUUCGGUUUGUCAAACCGAAGGUAAUGGGUUCAAUCCCCAUCUAUCUCG
rnacentral:tRNA from 1 species